rnacentral:rRNA from 1 species
CAGUCGCCACGGUAAUACGAAGGGUGCAAGCGUUAAUCGGAACGACUGGGCGUAAAGGGCGCGUAGGCGGUUUUGACAGUCAGAUGUGAAAUUCCUGGGCUUAACCUGGGGGCUGCAUUUGAGACGUCAAGACUAGAGUGUGAGAGAGGGUCGUGGAAUUCCCAGUGUAGAGGUGAAAUUCGUAGAUAUUGGGAAGAACACCGGUGGCGAAGGCGGCAACCUGGCUCAUUACUGACGCUGAGGCGCGAAAGCGUGGGGAGCAAACAGGAUUAGAUACCCGCGUAGUCCCUGUCUCUUAUAA